rnacentral:rRNA from 1 species
UACGAAGGGGGCUAGCGUUGCUCGGAAUCACUGGGCGUAAAGGGUGCGUAGGCGGGUCUUUUAAGUCAGGGGUGAAAUCCCGAGGCUCAACCUCGGAACUGCCUUUGAUACUGGGGAUCUUGAGUCCGGAAGAGGUGAGUGGAACUGCGAGUGUAGAGGUGAAAUUCGUAGAUAUUCGCAAGAACACCGGUGGCGAAGGCGGCUCACUGGUCCGGAACUGACGCUGAGGCACGACAGCGUGGGGAGCAAACAGG